CAUAAAGUGCGUCGUAGUCCGGAUUGGAGUCUGCAACUCGACUCCAUGAAGUCGGAAUCGCUAGUAAUCGUGGAUCAGAAUGCCACGGUGAAUACGUUCCCGGGCCUUGUACACACCGCCCGUCACACCAUGGGAGUGGGUUGCAAAAGAAGUAGGUAGCUUAACCUUCGGGAGGGCGCUUACCACUUUGUGAUUCAUGACUGGGGUGAAGUCGUAACAAGGUAACCGUAGGGGAACCUGCGGUUGGAUCACCUCCUUACCUUAAAGAAGC
rnacentral:rRNA from 5 species